rnacentral:rRNA from 1 species
GGGCCCGCACAAGCGGUGGAGCAUGUGGUUUAAUUCGAUGAUACGCGAGGAACCUUACCAGGGCUUAAAUGUAAGUUGCAUAAGCUAGAGAUAGCUUUUUCUUCGGACUACUUACAAGGUGCUGCAUGGUUGUCGUCAGCUCGUGCCGUGAGGUGUCAGGUUAAGUCCUAUAACGAGCGCAACCCCUGUUGUUAGUUGCCAUCGAGUAAUGUCGGGAACUCUAACAAGACUGCCGGUGCAAACCGUGAGGAAGGUGGGGAUGACGUCAAAUCAUCACGGCCCUUACGUCCUGGGCUACACACGUGCUACAAUGGCCGGUACAGAGAGCAGCCACUACGCGAGUAGGAGCGAAUCUACAAAACCGGUCUCAGUUCGGAUCGCAGUCUGCAACUCGACCGCGUG